rnacentral:rRNA from 1 species
GGGUGAGUAACACGUGAGUAACCUGCCCUUGACUCUGGGAUAAGCCUGGGAAACCGGGUCUAAUACUGGAUACGACCUUCCCACGCAUGUGGUGUUGGUGGAAAGCUUUUGUGGUUUUGGAUGGACUCGCGGCCUAUCAGCUUGUUGGUGGGGUAAUGGCCUACCAAGGCGACGACGGGUAGCCGGCCUGAGAGGGUGACCGGCCACACUGGGACUGAGACACGGCCCAGACUCCUACGGGAGGCAGCAGUGGGGAAUAUUGCACAAUGGGCGCAAGCCUGAUGCAGCGACGCCGCGUGAGGGAUGAAGGCCUUCGGGUUGUAAACCUCUUUCAGUAGGGAAGAAGCUGAUCUUUUGGGUUGGUGACGGUACCUGCAGAAGAAGCGCCGGCUAACUACGUGCCAGCAGCCGCGGUAAUACGUAGGGCGCAAGCGUUAUCCGGAAUUAUUGGGCGUAAAGAGCUCGUAGGCGGUUUGUCGCGUCUGCCGUGAAAGUCCGGGGCUUAACCCCGGAUCUGCGGUGGGUACGGGCAGACUAGAGUGCAGUAGGGGAGACUGGAAUUCCUGGUGUAGCGGUGAAAUGCGCAGAUAUCAGGAGGAACACCGAUGGCGAAGGCAGGUCUCUGGGCUGUAACUGACGCUGAGGAGCGAAAGCAUGGGGAGCGAACAGGAUUAGAUACCCUGGUAGUCCAUGCCGUAAACGUUGGGCACUAGGUGUGGGGGACAUUCCACGUUUUCCGCGCCGUAGCUAACGCAUUAAGUGCCCCGCCUGGGGAGUACGGCCGCAAGGCUAAAACUCAAAGGAAUUGACGGGGGCCCGCACAAGCGGCGGAGCAUGCGGAUUAAUUCGAUGCAACGCGAAGAACCUUACCAAGGCUUGACAUGAACCGGAAUGAUGCAGAGAUGUGUCAGCCACUUGUGGCCGGUUUACAGGUGGUGCAUGGUUGUCGUCAGCUCGUGUCGUGAGAUGUUGGGUUAAGUCCCGCAACGAGCGCAACCCUCGUUCCAUGUUGCCAGCGGGUUAUGCCGGGGACUCAUGGGAGACUGCCGGGGUCAACUCGGAGGAAGGUGGGGACGACGUCAAAUCAUCAUGCCCCUUAUGUCUUGGGCUUCACGCAUGCUACAAUGGCCGGUACAAAGGGUUGCGAUACUGUGAGGUGGAGCUAAUCCCAAAAAGCCGGUCUCAGUUCGGAUUGAGGUCUGCAACUCGACCUCAUGAAGUUGGAGUCGCUAGUAAUCGCAGAUCAGCAACGCUGCGGUGAAUACGUUCCCGGGCCUUGUACACACCGCCCGUCAAGUCA